CUUUACAUUCUCUUCUCUCAUUUCAUUUUCCUCUUCUUUUCACGCAAAGCCAUUCCCAUUUUCCCUUUCCCUUAGCUAGCAAUUCCUUGAGAAAAUACUCUCUUGGUCGGCCACCUUGGGGGGGCACUUUAUGAAUGAGCAAACACAAGGAUUGGAGGAAGCCACUACGAUCGAUUUCCAGAGGACUGCCAAAUCAAUUAGAGUUUAUUCUUCAUUGUCUUUGUUUUACUUUUAUUAAUCAUGUUUGCAAUUUGUUCUGUUGUUUUUUCAUCAUCAAUGGUAUCUUAAUUUUGUUUAGCUAGAAUAAUUACAUCUAUUUGAUGAAGUUCUUUUGAUUCAUGUUCAUGGUGUUUUGUGCCUCAAUCGUUCAUGCUUUCA
rnacentral:lncRNA from 1 species